UACGUAGGUGGCAAGCGUUGUCCGGAUUUACUGGGCGUAAAGGAUGCGUAGGCGGACAUUUAAGUCAGAUGUGAAAUACCCGAGCUUAACUUGGGUGCUGCAUUUGAAACUGGGUGUCUAGAGUGCAGGAGAGGUAAGUGGAAUUCCUAGUGUAGCGGUGAAAUGCGUAGAGAUUAGGAAGAACACCAGUGGCGAAGGCGACUUACUGGACUGUAACUGACGCUGAGGCAUGAAAAGCGUGGGGAGCAAACAGG
rnacentral:rRNA from 1 species